UCAAUCGAAAUGUUAAACACAACUGAAGCCAAUAAAAUACCAAAUAUUACAUUUUUUUUAUUUUUUCGAAAUUAAAUAGAAGUUUUGUUAUUAUGAAGAACAAAAAUGCUUUUAUAACUUAAACUUCGACUAUUGUUGAUUGAAGAACGUAAAACGUCGAAGCAAUUGUUAAGCGAUAGCCCGAACACGAUAUUGUUACAUCACCUUCAAUCUAAAUCUUAAACUAAUAGCAGCAAGAUGGAAAUUGCACUGUACGAGCUAAAUUGGACGUCUAAUAUCAAGACAAUGCCUUAGAUCAAGCACGUAAUCAUUGGAAGCUACGACGUUGUCGCGGUGGCAUCAGGAAGCCAAACUUUGCCUUGCGAAAUAAUCUAUUAAAAUAUAUUACGAACUAAAAAACAAUUUUAAUUUUCAGAUUUAAAAUUGCAUGAAAUUGAAGGAUUUAAAUAACCAAUCAAAGAAGUAUCUGAUUAAACAUAAACAAUUAAUAUGAAGUCAUCACAACUCCGAAGAACGUAAUAAGGUAGCUAGUGUUACCAGCCAUACCUACUAGAUAUCUAGGUAUAAUUAGGAACUUUUUUCGAUAACUUGUACUAGUUAAUUGUAAUAUUAUUUUAUUAAUAGUUAAUAAUAUCGAUUGGAUGAAUCGUAAAUUUAAUUAAAUACACAAAAAAAGAUGGACAUUGCUUGUUUGUUCUAAUUGAAUAAAAUAUAUUAUUAUC